rnacentral:rRNA from 1 species
AGUGAACGCUGGCGGUAGGCCUAACACAUGCAAGUCGAACGGCAGCACAGUAAGAGCUUGCUCUUACGGGUGGCGAGUGGCGGACGGGUGAGGAAUACAUCGGAAUCUACUUUUUCGUGGGGGAUAACGUAGGGAAACUUACGCUAAUACCGCAUACGACCUACGGGUGAAAGCAGGGGAUCUUCGGACCUUGCGCGGUUGAAUGAGCCGAUGUCGGAUUAGCUAGUUGGCGGGGUAAAGGCCCACCAAGGCGACGAUCCGUAGCUGGUCUGAGAGGAUGAUCAGCCACACUGGAACUGAGACACGGUCCAGACUCCUACGGGAGGCAGCAGUGGGGAAUAUUGGACAAUGGGCGCAAGCCUGAUCCAGCCAUACCGCGUGAGUGAAGAAGGCCUUCGGGUUGUAAAGCCCUUUUGUUGGGGAAGAAAAGCAGCAGGUUAAUACCCCGCUGUUCUGACGGUACCCAAAGAAUAAGCACCGGCUAACUUCGUG